GAUGCCACAGCUGAAAUACACAAAUUAAUACAGGAGGACUGGGACAAGGAGUACGCCGAAUUCGCUAGUGGUAAACGAAUUCCAACAACGCUAAACAAACCUUGGUUUAACAACUUGAACUGCAACCUCAGGCCUUCGGGUAUAAAAAUAAUAAACAGAUUAAUCAGCGGUAACGCUUUGACAAUUAUACUUUAAACAAAAUGCACGUGUUACGGAACUGCAUCUUUCCCGGAGGGCAGCGCCGGCUAGCCACGGAGUCCCAGGGCGGAGUACCCCCUAUGCCCUGCAGUCCGAACAAUCGAUUCCGAUUCAUCGGACGUCUCACGUCACUAACUUGACGAUUUACCAUCUCUACCGCAAAUCAAAACAAAACAAAGUUAUAUUUACAUCAAGAAAACUAAGACAAUUCGACGAAAUUGGUUGCUUCGAUGUCCUUGCCACGACGCACCCACCCAACCUUGGGUGCCCCAAAAAGGAUGUAGGAGGCACGCCCCAUCUCCGGCAGACUGGAGUCUAUUCCUGGUGGAUUAGGAUCGGCUCAUCUCCCCGCCCAAGAAACACUUAAGGUCGAUCUCAGACCAUCGCCCAGAUGAGAAGCGGUCAAAGCGGCAACAACCGAAAGGGAAAUUUUUAGACGCUUAAAGUUACAAGUGUCGCCGCAUGGUACUAAAUUGGAGGCGUUUGCCAACCGGGUUGCCUAAUCCUGAGGAGCUCCAAGGGAAAAGAAGGGACGUGCUGAAAAGGUAAGUACGCUAAACAAAUCCCACAAGUUAUUAAAUUUCGCGACCCAAUUUAGAUGUAGUUGGACGCGCGGCUAGGGUUCGGGCUUGAGCCUCUAAUUUUAGAUUAGAUUUCACAAGUUCAACGUCGGAUGUGGUUGAAACUGCAGCCAGAAUGGAAAAAUCGCUAGAAACGAAAACCAGCGCUAGUCCGCACGGAGCCAAUUGGUCCGGAGGAUAGCACAGCGUCCGCGUAAGAGGGGCCGGAGGCAGUGCGUCGGUGAACUUGGAGAUGACCCCGUGGCCAGCGCGGGCGUUCGUUCCUGGAACGGACUCACCGAGGGAAUCUCCGUAUCUGGCCGUCUCGGAGGCAGUCGCUGUAGCU